GAUCCUGGCUCAGGAUGAACGCUAGCGACAGGCUUAACACAUGCAAGUCGAGGGGCAGCGGGGAGUAGCAAUACUUCGCCGGCGACCGGCGCACGGGUGAGUAACACGUGUGCAACCAACCCCGUACCGGGAGAUAACCCGCGGAAACGUGGACUAACAUCCCAUAAUACUGAAGGAUCGCAUGAUCUUUCAUUUAAAAUUCCGGUGGUACGGGACGGGCACGCGCGACAUUAGGUAGUUGGCGGGGUAAGGGCCCACCAAGCCG
rnacentral:rRNA from 1 species